CCGUCUAUUACCGGCUGCCACUCUGACUGUAGGUUAAGAGGUUGGUCGGUGGCCCUCCUUUGAGAAAAAAAUCUCCUGCUGUGUAUCGAUCUGAUCUUCUUCUGUCUUCUAGAGUCAUCUACUCUAAUCCCUCACACCUAAGUACCCAAAAAUCACUACAAAAAAGAGCAACAGAGCAAGAGAGUUGUGAGUAGCCAGAACAGUGUUAACGACCAUGGCUUCCAAAACAGAGCCGACCCAGAGGCUGGUCUUCUCAGACGAGUACAAAGCCACCAUCUUUGCUGCAGAACCAAGCUCAGAAGCACAACCCACAAUGCAAAAAUCUCAGAGGUGAUAGAUGGUGCGAUCUGGAUUUGAUAAUCUGUGUUUCUAUCUUUUGGUAUUGUAUCCAGUGUUCUGCGUGUUGAGUAAUUGGGCGCAUCGCAAAAGCUUGUGUUUUGCGUUUUGAUUGGAUCCAAUUUUUGACGAGACGAUUGGGUUGAGAACAAGUAGAACAGGCGUGGUAUUUGAUUGUGUUCAUGUUUCUUUAGUUGAUUAGUUGAUAAUUGUGUGUGUUCUGAGGUUAUCAAGGUCAGUCACUGAGAUCAACACUGAUAAAAUUAUGCGCUGCCAAUCUCAGAU